rnacentral:rRNA from 1 species
CAGCCGUAAACUAUGCUCGCUAGGUGUCAGGCAUGGCGCGACCGUGUCUGGUGCCGCAGGGAAGCCGUGAAGCGAGCCACCUGGGAAGUACGGCCGCAAGGCUGAAACUUAAAGGAAUUGGCGGGGGAGCACAAUAACGGGUGGAGCCUGCGGUUUAAUUGGACUCAACGCCGGACAACUCACCGGGGGACGACAGCAAUAUGUAGGCCAGGCUGAAGACCUUGCCUGAAUCGCUGAGAGGUGGUGCAUGGCGUAGACGUCU